UACGUAGGGGGCAAGCGUUGUCCGGAUUUAUUGGGCGUAAAGAGCGUGUAGGCGGCCUGACAGGUCUGCUGUGAAAACUCGAGGCUCAACCUCGAGAUGUCGGCGGAAACCGUCUGGCUAGAGUCCGGAAGAGGAGAGUGGAAUUCCUGGUGUAGCGGUGAAAUGCGCAGAUAUCAGGAGGAACACCGGUGGCGAAGGCGGGUCUCUGGGCCGACAUUGACGCUGAGGAGCGAAAGCGUGGGGAGCGAACAGG
rnacentral:rRNA from 1 species